AAAAAAUAAAUAAAAGACAAAACAAACAAACAAAAAAUACUAUAAAUCGGUCAUUGUUCGUCCCUUAUUCUCUCUUUUCUCUCUAUGAAUCCCAUUGCCGCUCUCU
rnacentral:ribozyme from 1 species